AAAACCCUCUGCUUUAUUCUUAGGUAACUCUCAUUCAUCCCCAUAUUGAAUGUUUUGCUAGUUACAUUUAUUGGAAAUCUGCUGUUUCUUCAUCUCUAGCAUAUACUGAUUGUGUACUGCUAGUAUUGAGGUGGAAGUUAUACAGAAAACUUCAUUUCAGUUCUUUUCAUUUUUCAUAUGGUUUAUUUGGAUAUAAAGGGUAAUUAAGAUAUAUAAUUCUUGCUUCUGAUUUCUGAAAUUUUUUAAUGUUAUAGUGAAAAUUAAAACAAUGCAGAAAACUGGGUUCCUAGUUGGUGUUUGUUCUUUAGUGACAGGAAUUCAUGUCCUGAUAUUGAUGGCCCCCAUAUCACGUGCAUCGUUUUCUUGACUGCUUAAAAGGGUGAAAUAAUCUAAUGAAGAAACCUGUCAUGCCUGAGAAGUCUUGUUUGUUUUUAGUCCUUUUUGUCCUAUCUGAAGAACCUAACUUGAUAUUGAUCGCCUUUUGUUUGUUUAUUCGAUUUCUCAUUUCUCACGAGUACAUUAAUAAUGUAUUGUCAUCCAAAUGCAGGACUAAUUGCAGCAGCAUGUGG
rnacentral:misc_RNA from 1 species